rnacentral:rRNA from 1 species
AGAAGUGUGAGAAACACUUCCGCCGAAAGUCCAAGGGUUCCUGCUUAAAGCUAAUCUGAGCAGGGUAAGCCGGCCCCUAAGCCGAGGGCGAAAGCCGUAGGCGAUGGGAACUAGGUUAAUAUUCCUAGGCCAGGAGGAUGUGACGGAUCAUGAAGGUUGUUCAUCCUUAUCGGAUUGGAUGGGCCGCUGAUUGGUUCCUGGAAAUAGCCCUCCAUGAGAUCGUACCCUAAACCGACACAGGUGGUCAGGUUGAAAAUACUAAGGCGUUCGGGUGAACUGUGGUUAAGGAAUUCGGCAAAAUGCCCCCGUAACUUCGGGAGAAGGGGGGCCGGAUCCGUCAAACUCCUUGCGAGUGGCAGCGGUGAUGGCCGCAGAGACCAGGCCCAAGCGACUGUUUACUAAAAACACAGGUCCGUGCGAAGUCGCAAGACGAUGUAUACGGACUGACGCCUGCCCGGUGCUGGAAGGUUAA